rnacentral:rRNA from 1 species
AGUGAACGCUGGCGGUAGGCCUAACACAUGCAAGUCGAACGGCAGCACAGUAAGAGCUUGCUCUUACGGGUGGCGAGUGGCGGACGGGUGAGGAAUACAUCGGAAUCUACUUUUUCGUGGGGGAUAACGUAGGGAAACUUACGCUAAUACCGCAUACGACCUACGGGUGAAAGCAGGGGAUCUUCGGACCUUGCGCGAUUGAAUGAGCCGAUGUCGGAUUAGCUAGUUGGCGGGGUAAAGGCCCACCAAGGCGACGAUCCGUAGCUGGUCUGAGAGGAUGAUCAGCCACACUGGAACUGAGACACGGUCCAGACUCCUACGGGAGGCAGCAGUGGGGAAUAUUGGACAAUGGGCGCAAGCCUGAUCCAGCCAUACCGCGUGGGUGAAGAAGGCCUUCGGGUUGUAAAGCACUUUUGUUCGGAAAGAAAAGCAGCAGGUUAAUACCCCGCUGUUCUGACGGUACCCAAAGAAUAAGCACCGGCUAACUUCGUG